rnacentral:snRNA from 9 species
AUACUUACAUGGUGUAGGGAUACCGUGAUCAUGCAGGCGGUUCCUCCAGGAUGAGGCUGCUCCAUUGCACUGCGGAGUGGUUGACCCUUGCGAUUAUUUUUUUAUUGCUUAAAUGAGUCGACGAGCUCGCA